rnacentral:rRNA from 1 species
AGCUCCAAUAGCGUAUAUUAAAGUUGCUGCAGUUAAAAAGCUCGUAGUUGCAUUUCCGAGGCAAGGGAUUAGUCCGACCUUUGGUGGGUAUUUAAUCCUCUUGCCUCGUCCUUGAGUGGUGCUUCUUGGUAUUAAGUUAUCGAGGAGAUAGCCGCUCAUCGUUUACUGUGAGAAAAUUAGAGUGUUCAAAGCAGGCUUAUGCCGUUGAAUAUAUUAGCAUGGAAUAAUAAGAUAGGACCUCGGUACUAUUUGGUUGGUUUGAGAACCAAGGUAAUGAUUAAUAGGGACAGUUGGGGGUAUUCGUAUUCAGUUGUCAGAGGUGAAAUUCUUAGAUUUACGGAAGACGAACUACUGCGAAAGCAUUUACCAAGGAUGUUUUCA